rnacentral:rRNA from 1 species
UACGGGGGGAGCAAGCGUUGUUCGGAUUUACUGGGCGUAAAGCGCGCGCAGGCGGUCCUUUAAGUCUGAUGUGAAAGCCCACGGCUCAACCGUGGAGGGUCAUUGGAAACUGGGGGACUUGAGUGCAGAAGAGAAGAGUGGAAUUCCACGUGUAGCGGUGAAAUGCGUAGAGAUGUGGAGGAACACCAGUGGCGAAGGCGACUCUUUGGUCUGUAACUGACGCUGAGGCGCGAAAGCGUGGGGGAGCAAACAGGG